CUACGGGUGGUUUUACUCCGGGUACUCCGGGUUUCCUCCACCUCCAAAACCUGGCACGUCCUUAAAUGAUCCUGGCUGUUAAUAGGACGUUAAACAAAAUAAGCCAAACCAAUUUGCUCGGAAAUAUAUUUUGGUAUUUGAGGAAUUUCAGUUUUCCUGAAUUGGAAAAAUCAUCUUAACUGGACAAUUUGUUUUAAAAAAAAAAGGUUUAAGAAUCAUUAUGACCAAUACAGUCACAAAUGCCCCAUUUUAGACCCCCUUUUUAGACUUCCUGUUUUUCUAGGACAAAUGUAAAGACUACUUGGUUUAUUACAGAUAAAAAUGCUAAAAUAAAUAUUGACUAAUCAAUAUCAAAAUUAUCUAGUCAUAAAAUGAAUAUUUGGAUGUUUUUAUAUGCCAGGUGUAUGCUGGAAUGCAAACUUUAAUUUUUUUUUUUUUUUUUACAAUUUCUGUAAAUGUACUUGAAUUGCCUGCAUAAACCUUGACCAGCAUUCAGAUUUUGUAACUCAAUGCCAAGUUUAUAUAACUCGGCUACAACUAUAGAAACUAACUAUUUUAUAUUGAUAUCUAAAUGUUUAAAUAUUUUAUAAAUCAUAUUAUUUUGUAGAGUGACUCUUUAUCCUUAAAGUGUAAAUUAAGUGUUGAUCUUCCUAGAUCUGAGUUUAAGAUUUUUUUCUAGUUAAACCCUAGUUUACUACAUCAUGUUAAAAGGUUACACAAGUUUUAUAUCUAGAUUGCUAGUCCCUGGGUUUAUCGCCCCAUGAACAUCUGGGGUCAUUUUGAGCCCAGGUCUCCUUGUAGUAGUUGGUGGCUACCUCAUUGAACAACAUACAGAAGCCCCAUCGCAUACCAUCUAGAGCAAUUAGGGUAAAGUGUCUUGCCCAAGGACACAACCACCACAGCACAGACCAGCCUGUUUCUCAGCUUUCUGAGAAACAAAAACCGACACCACGCACCUCGGAUCUUCACCUGAGGUGAGGUGGCCCGGCGCUCAAACCGACUGAGCUAUCAAGGCCUACUUCUAUAUAGAACAAGAUAACUAUCGUCAAAUAUACUGAUUAACUUGUAUUUGUUGUCAUUAAAUUUAUUAAAAAUACUCAACAUUUUAUAAUGAAUCAUCCGUCAUAAAAUGCAGUAUUCGUUCCUGUGUCAUCAUGAAUUGUACCCUGUAGUUUUUUUUUUUUUUUUAAUUCUUUAUAUUUUCUUAAAAAAUAUAUAUAUAUAUAUACAUAGCAUUUAACACUGUAGUACAUGCAUGUUUGUAUGUCUUGGUCUUAGUUAAAAAUGGCAACAUUAAUAAAUUGUCAUAUUGAAAUCAUCAUUGUUAUUGUAACAACAAAUAUUUUGUACUUUUGUAAAGAAAGAAAGUUAUACUGCCAAAUUUAGAUAUUUUUAAAACAUCUUAUUAGAAUGUGGAGAGUAUUCGUUCAUUUCAUAUGUGCCUAUCUCUCAUAAAUAUGUCAGCCAUCUUUUUAAUCCAGCAUGUCUUCUAAACUGGUUACACAUUUAUUGAAAAAAAAAUACAAAAAAAAUUACUGAUAUUCCCGUAAAAUGGUCCCAUUUGUGCUGAUUGGCUCAUUUGACAUUUAUUCAUGUACAAGGUUUGUGCUGGUUGGUUCAUUAUUCCUACAUUUAUGUAAGGUUUGUGCUGAUUGGUUCAUUAUUCCUACAUUUAUGUAAGGUGUGUAUUGAUUGGUCGACAACUUUUGAGAGAGAUAAUGAUUGGCCCAUUAUACCAUAUAGCUAUAUUUAUGUAAAUAUGUAUUAAUUGGACAAUAAAAAAAAUGACCUUUCUUUAUGGCAAGAAUGCAUUGAUUGGUUCAUUUUACCUUUCAUUUAUCUAAGGUAUGCAUCGAUUGGUCAAUUACAUCUGCUAUUCAUUUUAGGUUUGUAACAGUUCAUCUAUUAUGCUUAACGGCAGAUUUGGUCGUUUUGGGAGACAUUUGUGCUGAUUGAAUAAAACAAAUGGUUUGCAAAAAUAUCUCCAUUUAAAAUAGACUUGUACGCUCAGUAUUACAAUGUCAGUCUUGUGUGCCCUGUAGAGAAAAACCUAUUGUAGCAUUCCCUGCACAAUGACUUGAGGUGCUUUGUCAACAUUUUGUACAUAUAUAUUUUUUUUUCAUUAUUGAAUAUUCCAUUUUUCUUGAAUGUGUAUAUUUCCCUUGCUAAAUGUUACAGUUGUGUAUAAUGUUAUUAGUACAGGUAGUGGUUUAUUAAAAGUCAUUUCUCUGACAUCUUUUCAUUAAAAAUCAAUAUCAUACAAAUACA